rnacentral:rRNA from 1 species
UACGUAGGUGGCAAGCGUUGUCCGGAUUUACUGGGCGUAAAGGGCGUGCAGGCGGUUCGUUAAGUGCAGGGUGAAAGCUCCCGGCUCAACUGGGAGAGGUCCUUGCAUACUGGCGAACUCGAGGGAGGCAGAGGAAAGUGGAAUUCCCGGUGUAGUGGUGAUAUGCGUAGAUAUCGGGAGGAACACCUGUGGCGAAGGCGGCUUUCUGGUCCGGUUCUGACGCUGAGGCGCGAAAGCGUGGGGAGCAAACAGG